GCCCGAGUGGCGGAAUUGGCAGACGCGGAGGUCUCAAAAACCUUUGAGGAAACUCGUGUGGGUUCGAGUCCCACCUCGGGCACCA
rnacentral:tRNA from 1 species